AAUAUUGGACAAUGGGGGGAACCCUGAUCCAGCCAUGCCGCGUGUGUGAAGAAGGUCUNCGGAUUNUNAAGCACUUUAAGUUGGGNGGAAGGGCAGUAAGUUAAUACCUUGCUGUUUUGACGUUACCGACAGAAUAAGCACCGGCUAACUUCGUUCCAGCAGCCGCGGUAAUACGAAGGGUGCAAGCGUUAAUCGGAAUUACUGGGCGUAAAGCGCGCGUAGGUGGUUCAGUAAGAUGGGUGUGAAAUCCCCGGGCUUAACCUGGGAACUGCUUUCAAAACUGGCAAGCUAGAGUAUGGCAGAGGGUGGUGGAAUUUCCUGUGUAGCGGUGAAAUGCGUAGAUAUAGGAAGGAACACCAGUGGCGAAGGCGACCACCUGGGCUAAUACUGACACUGAGGUGCGAAAGCGUGGGGAGCAAACAGG
rnacentral:rRNA from 1 species